rnacentral:rRNA from 1 species
GUCUACGGCUAUGCCACCCUGAGCAAGCCCGAUCCCGUUUGAUCUCGGAAGCUAAGCAGGGUCGGGCCUGGUUAGUUCUUGGGUGGGAAACCACCGAGGAAGACCAGGUGCUGUAGGCA